AUGAAUAUUUCAGAAUUCUACGGACUUCACAUGUGAUUCACCUCAGUUCCAUGUUAGCAUCCUAUCAAGAUGCCAAUCUCCAAGAUGUCAAUGAUUUCAGAUUUUAGUCUAAAGAAAACUCUUCAACCAGCCACACAGAAUUUUGAGAAUGAAACAGUAAGCCACGGAAAUGUUAUCUUGAGACAGAACUCGCAAAACCAGUAUGCAGGACGAGAACUUCAGAAAACCUAAACUAUUACCUUGUUUUCCUGUAAUAUCACCAGUAUGGUUUGGUCAGGAACCCUCCCUAACAAUGAGUGCUAGUUCUCCUUUAAUCCCUUCCUUUCCAGCUCUUCGCUGUUGUUCCUCAAUGUCCAUUUCUACCACUUCUGUUCCCGUUAUUAGCUUCAGCUUCCCAAACCGGACUGUCACACUAUGAGCGUUCUGCCACUGAAAGUUAUGGACAGCGAACCUCCUGUCCAAGUCACUGACACUGACCAAAACUUAGUCACACAAGAGGUUCCAUGGAAAUUGAUGGAACCCUAUGGAUUAGUAGAAAUAAUAUCGAAUCUUUUAGAGAAGGUACUUAUUAUCGACAGCCGCUCAUUUCUGGAGUUUAACACCUGCCAUAUACGUCACUCAGUCAACGUCUGUUGCUCUAAGCUGGUGAAAAGACGUUUACAGCAUGAUAAGGUUCACAUAAAAGAUUUGCUGGCUCAAACAUGCCACAUUGAUGCUGAUGAGAAUGCCGAAAUUAUCGUCUAUGACCAAUGCACUGAGGAACCAGCCUAUUUGACGGGAGACAAUUUCUUGGUUGUAUUACUGCAAAAACUUUCUUCUGCCUACAAAAGUGUCACACUUCUAAAAGGUGGAUUUUUAGUGUUCCAAGCUAUGCAUCCUUCUCUUUGUGAGAGUAAAUCCAACAAGUGUACUUCCCUGACAUCUCUAUCACAGCCUUGCCUGCCAAUUAGCAAUGUAGGACCAACACGCAUUCUUCAUUUUCUCUAUUUAGGCUCACAGAGGGAUGCUAUGUCCCAAGAUAUAAUACAGGUUAAUGGCAUAUCUUACAUUCUGAACGUGACCACAACAUGUAAGCAACCCGCAUUCAUUCAAGAGAGUCACUUUCUUCGCAUUCCAAUUAACGAUAAUUACUUUGAUAAGAUGCUACCAUACUUCCACGAUGCAUUCCAAUUCCUUGACAAAGUACGAGAGGCUAAUGGUUGUGUACUAAUCCACUGCCUAGCUGGUAUUUCUCGGUCACCGACGCUGGCAAUAGCCUAUGUCAUGAGGCAUCUAAAAAUGUCUUCAGAUGAUGCAUACAGAUAUGUUAAGGCCAAGCGUCCCACCAUUUCACCAAACUUUAACUUUUUAGGACAAUUACUAGAAUAUGAAAAACAGUUAAGAGAAGAUCAAGAGAAAGCUAAGAAGCUUGCAGAAACAUCAGGAAAAAUUAUUGAAGUGUCUCGUGGAGGGCAGUUUGCUAUGGAUUUAUGCAGCAGCCCCGUCUCACCAGUUCCGAAAGUGCAUCGAACUUGUGGUAGCAUGACCUCAGCUCUGUGUUUGCCAGUGACCCGACAGUCUCAGAUAACAACAACAGCAACAACAACAGCAGCUUCAUCAUCUGAAGUCCUUACAUCUACUCUCGCUCCUACAUCUGUUGACGAAGCUGAUUCUAUGCACAAAACAGCAUCUACUAGUGGCCCCACAGUCCCCUGUUCGGAGCCUCCAAGCAUAUCUUGCACUAGCACCAUUUCCACUACUACUACUACUACUAGUACUACAACAGUUACUGCUACUUCUACCAUCACCAACACCUCCAUCAAAAGUUGUUCAAAGUUAACCUUAUCCCCUCCUUCACGACCACAAACAUUCACAAGCCUGCCUUUCAAGACAACUCUUUCUCCGACCCCUAUAACAUCACCCCUUAUACAGAAGCUGGCACUCUCUCCUACUGCUGCUCUGGCGAAACUGAAUUUCAGUCAGAAUAGUGUUGAAAAUAUGGAAACACUGGAAACGGUAACUGUUGAAAAUAUUCUUCAGCUACACAAAUUUCCAACUACCUCAUUGGACAAACUUAGUUUUACGCCUUGCUUUGCCAAGGACGAAAUAGACAAUGGCAGUGGCAGCAAUGUCCUUAAUAAGGACAGCAAUAUCAGCGAUAGCGGGACAACAACCCCUAUCACCACCCCCACCACCACCACCACCACCACCACCACCACUUCUCUAACUUCUCUUGCCACAACUUGCAUGACAGUGCGCCCACGUAACACUGCUGUCAAGAGACCCAAGUCCUCAUCUCUCUCCUCUUCAUCUUGUUCGUCGACAUCUACAAGUGAUGGCAUUGAUAGCAAAUUCAUUGAACCCCUUUCACCCAGCUCAACAAGCAGCAGCUCAACAUCCAGCAGCUCAACAUCCAGCUCUGCGGUGACUUCUCCCACAACUGCUAACUCUUCAAAGGUUAUACUUCGCUCAAGAGAGAAUCGCGCCAAACGGCCCCUCGUUCGCCCUAACAGCAUUGCAUUCUCAACUUAUCCGACCUUUGAUUUGGGUUCUGAUUGCCAGGAGUCUCCAGGGUCGAGCAGUACAACUUCACAAGAUGAUACGUCUGAAGCGUAUUUAUUGCACAACGGCAAGAAAUCGAAACCUUCAGAAUCAGGAGGCCAUUGGCCGUACGGUCGCUAUUCUGAGAGGCACGUAUACAAACAGAUUGCUGCCGCCAUGGAAAGUGCCAUGGUUCGAACACACGUGUUUGAAAAUUCCCGAAAAUCUCGUAGUCUGGAUGAUAUCUUGACUUCUGAAGAAGAUCCGGCUGUAUUGGAAUGUCCCUGCUCUCCGCUCGACAAACUACCUCGACGAUGUGGGGCAAGCGCAGACAUUUAUUCUAAAGGAAUCUUUGAAAACUUAACAUGUCAUAUCCGCGGUUCAUCCGAUUCCUACCAAUCAAGCAGCAGCAUUUCUUCAAGUGGCAGUCACAGUUCAUUACACGGAAGUUUAGAGAUCAUUCAGUACCACACGUCUGGAGAUCUUCCUAAUUUUUUUGACACAUACAUGCAAAUGGUAAGUUGAUGCAAUUACUGCUGUUAUCAGCUUAUUCAUCAUCACCACCACCACCACCACCACCACCACUGCUGCCACCGCCGCCGCCGUUGUUGUUGCCAUCAUUGCCAUUGUUAUUAUCAGCAUCAUCAUCAUCAUAGCCAUCUUCAUAGUCAUCUUCAUUGCUGCUGUCGGUGAAACCCAGCACCACCGCCCUCCCAUUUUCUGCCACUAUCCCUACCCCCACCCUGCACAGUGGCAGACUCAUUACUGCUCUUCAGUUGCCGUCUCCGUUUUGAAUUUACUUGUUUUAUUUAUUUAUUUUUUUUUUAUUGUUUUGGUGUUUUAGAAUUUAUAUUUCAAUGUGAAUAAUCCUGCCAGAGCACUGUGAUUAUUAUUAUUAUUAUUAUAAUUAUCAUCGUUAUCAUUAUCAUCAUCAUUAUCAAUCAUUAUUAUUAUUAUCAUUAUUAUUAAUAUCAUUAUUAUUAUUGUGUUUGUGUCUUAUGUAAUACAAUUCAAAAAAUAUAUAUUCAUACUGGAAUAUUCAAAGCAUAAAAAUUGUUUCUGUGUGUGUGUGUGUGUGAGUGAAUUCUUGGCAAAUAUGACAAAUUAUAUUCAUUGCAUUUGAAUUUGUCAAAAGCAUCGCAUUUGAAAUGUUGGUAAUGGCUUUAUCGACUGACAUUCAAGGAAUAAAAAUGCAAGGGUGCUUUUCGUUUCUGUAACCAAUAUAACGUAUACCCCUAACCCUUUAGCUUCCACCAGUUAUCUUCAUUAACAAAGAAUAAACAAGAUAUUUUGGUCGCUGGAUUCUGUGAUGUUCAACAAUUUAAAAUUUUGCAUUGAACUGGGUUUGUAAGAGUUACUUUCCCUUUGUUGACUCUCUCUCUCUCUCUCUCCCCUACUUGUUUGGCCUCUGUUCCUUGUCUUCCUCGAAAUAUGGUGCAACUUUUUAUCAAACAACACUUUAUUGAACCUCGAAACAACUUCUUGUGAAUAUAUUACCUUGUAGCAUAGGUUGUGGUGCCUCAGUGCAGCAAUGGCGACCCAUGUGCCAAAUGUAUUGUGCCAGCCUCCAGUGCUCUUGUGAAUCUGUGGUGAAUUGUUUUUUUUGCCAUGUCUAUUAUUUUGCAGCCAUUCAUAAAACAUUCCAACAUUGUAUUGGGAAUCGUGGUCAUUGACAUCUCCUGUCUUCCACACCGUUGUGCCUUAAUCCAUAUGGUUGCAAAAUAACCUUCACAUCUGCACAUUUUUUCACACAUGAUGCAAUUUCGAACCAUUCACACACACACACACUGAUAGCAAAUUAACUUCACACACACACAUACACACGUUUGUAAUAUCAAUAAACCCAUUGGCUACCCUAUACAAAUGUUAAAAGCUGGCUAAAUGUUGUUUUUUUUUUAAUUAAAUUUUUGCGGAUGAAAAUUUCUAUUUUUAUUUUAUAUUAAAAAUUAUUCUAUAUUUAAAAUUGUUACCAUUUGUUGCACUUGUUUAAAAUUGUCCCAUAGAAAAUAAAUAUCGACAAAAUAAUACACUUAAAAAUAAAUAUCUGCAAUCUGUAACACAUCUUUUAUAUAUAAAAAAAAAAUAUUCUAUUUUUGAAAUUCACUUUUAGCUACAAUUAUCUUACUCUGUAAUAUAUUUACAAAAUUAUUCCAUGAAAAGUCACUUUGAGGAAAAGUUGUUUUGACAAAAAGUCAUUUGAUAAAAAUUUGCUUAAAAAGAAAUUUGAGAAAAGUUGUUUGAUAAAUGAUUUUUUAUCUUUUAUGAGAAGUCUAAUUUCAUUUAGUGUUCACUGCUCCUAAGAUUUUUACACCUUGUCAGCCUGCAUUGAUCACUUUAAUCCUUGGUUACCAUAUUUCUUUUGAAGCACUUUGCCUUUGUUUCAAUUAGUUUUAUCAGUAAUGACAAGUAUUUUUGCUCUCAUUAAGCUGAUUUUGGAAUAUCAACAUUAAAUUUUGAUUGAACAUUUUCAUUUAGCUCACUUUAAAUAUGUCUCAUAGAACCAACAGCUGUUUCAAGAAGGUUGGUAUUAAAAGGGUUAAAACGUUUGCCAAGUUUUUUAGUGAUAUUUUUAUAAUAUUUAUAUCUCAUGUGGAACAGAAAUUUAUGAGGAAUUAUAGUGUCUGUAUGUAUGUGUCUUUUAUUUUCUCUGAUUUUAAAUCUAUUUCUCCCAGGGUGAAGGAAUGUUUUUUACCUGAAAUACUUUAACCUAAAAUUUUUGGAUCAGCUAUUUUUAUAAUUUUCUCUCUUUGUAAUUCAUGUAUUAUUUAUUAACAAAUUUUCACUAAUAAUAGAUUAUUUUAUAACUAAUAGUGUGUGUAUCUUGUGCAAGACACUUUAUUUCACAUUGCUCCUAUUCACUCAGCCGUAGAAAUGAGUUGCGAUGUCACUGGUGCCAAGUUGUAUCGGCCUCUUUGUUUUUCCCUUGGAUAACACCAGUGGCAUGGAAAGGAGAGGCUGGUAUGUGUGGGCGACUGCUGGUCUUCUAUAAACAACCUUACCUGGGCUUGUGCCUCGGAGGGUAACUUUCUAGGUGCAAUCCCAUGGUCAUUCAUGACUGAAAAGGGUCUUUUUACCCUUUAUAUAAAAUCAGUUGUUUAUAAGUCGGAAAAAAGGCUCAGUCUAAAAAUGUUUUGAGCAAUAAUAUUUUAUGUUGUCGUUGGUUAUGACUGGUCAGAAAGCUGGCAUUGUAGGUUCAACUGUUGAGAGUGAAGCGUCUUGGUCAGAGGAAUUUGGUUCAUUGUCUGCUUCUUCAAUUGAGUUAGCCAUCUGAAUGUUCUAAGGAAAGUUUGGCUUUAAUUAGCGAGUGUCCUCAAGUUGUGAUUGUUGCUCAUAAAUUUGAUUUCAAUUGUCACAUCUCUCAGUUGUUAUUCCAAGCUGGAGUCAUAUUUUUUAAAAUCAUUUUUGAAAAAUUAAUUUUUGCUAUUUUUCUGUGUAGUUGAUGGUGGAGGUGUCCUGUAUAACCAUAUUAUAUCUGUAGAUGAGCCGCUAUUAAAAUAUAUACUUGAUAGUCAAUGUCAUCUUACCGGAGAAUAUUGAAUUUAAUCAUCAAUUUGUAAAUAUAUAUAUAUAUGUGCCUUAUCAUUUUCAAGUUUAACCAUCAUUAAAAUUAUAGUGUAAUCUUUUGCUGAAAUAUUCCACACGGUGCCAAAUCCCAAACUGAAAUAUGGCUAUUCCCCAGGGUAUAGGUUCUGAUUUUAUAUUUUGAAUUUUUGCUAAUGAUGGCGGUAUGUUAUUAAAAUAUAUCAAGGAAUGCAAUUAACC